rnacentral:rRNA from 1 species
AUUGAACGCUGGCGGCAUGCCUUACACAUGCAAGUCGAACGGCAGCACGGGAGCAAUCCUGGUGGCGAGUGGCGAACGGGUGAGUAAUAUAUCGGAACGUGCCCAGUCGUGGGGGAUAAUGUAGCGAAAGCUACGCUAAUACCGCAUACGAUCCAUGGAUGAAAGCGGGGGAUCGCAAGACCUCGCGCGAUUGGAGCGGCCGAUAUCAGAUUAGCUAGUUGGUGGGGUAAAGGCCCACCAAGGCGACGAUCUGUAGCUGGUCUGAGAGGACGACCAGCCACACUGGGACUGAGACACGGCCCAGACUCCUACGGGAGGCAGCAGUGGGGAAUUUUGGACAAUGGACGCAAGUCUGAUCCAGCAAUGCCGCGUGCAGGACGAAGGCCUUCGGGUUGUAAACUGCUUUUGUACGGAGCGAAACGGCCUCUUUUAAUACAGGGGGCUAAUGACGGUACCGUAAGAAUAAGCACCGGCUAACUACGUGC